UUUACUUACAAGUUACAUGUACAUCUGUCAUGACCCAUAACACCCAAGGAAGCAAUGUAAUAUUACAUUUGUACAGAGAAAAAAUGACUAUGGACGGUGAUGUAUGUGUUGAUUUAAUAAUUUACUAUCAACCAAACAUUUGUCCUUGCAAUAAACAAAACGUUAAAAACAUGUGAAAAGGGAGACAACAAACACAGCAAACAAAUUCCUACAAUGUGAUGAAGGGAAGAGUUAGAGGG
rnacentral:lncRNA from 1 species